rnacentral:rRNA from 1 species
CGGGGUCAACUCGGAGGAAGGUGGGGAUGACGUCAAGUCAUCAUGCCCCUUAUGUCCAGGGCUUCACGCAUGCUACAAUGGCUGGUACAGAGAGUGGCGAGCCUGUGAGGGUGAGCGAAUCUCGGAAAGCCGGUCUCAGUUCGGAUUGGGGUCUGCAACUCGACCUCAUGAAGUCGGAGUCGCUAGUAAUCGCAGAUCAGCAACGCUGCGGUGAAUACGUUCCCGGGGCUUGUACACACCGCCCGUCAAGUCAUGAAAGUUGGUAACACCCGAAGCCGGUGGCCUAACCGUUGUGGGGGAGCCGUCGAAGGUGGGACUGGUGAUUAGGACUAAGUCGUAACAAGGUAGCCGUACCGGAAGGUGCGGCUGGAUCACCU